rnacentral:tRNA from 1 species
GGGGGGUUAGCUCAGCGGUAGAGCGCCUGUUUUACACGCAGGUGGUCAGAGGUUCGAUCCCUCUACCCCCCACCA